AACGAACGCUGGCGGCAGGCCUAACACAUGCAAGUCGAACGCUCUCUUCGGAGGGAGUGGCAGACGGGUGAGUAACACGUGGGAACCUACCCCUUGGUACGGAAUAACUGAUGGAAACGUUAGCUAAUACCGUAUGAGCGCUGAGGCGGAAAGAUUUAUCGCCAAGGGAUGGGCCAGCGUAGGAUUAGCUAGUUGGUGGGGUAAAGGCCUACCAAGGCGACGAUCCUUAGCUGGUCUGAGAGGAUGAUCAGCCACACUGGGACUGAGACACGGCCCAGACUCCUACGGGAGGCAGCAGUGGGGAAUAUUGGACAAUGGGCGGAAGCCUGAUCCAGCCAUGCCGCGUGAGUGAUGAAGGCCUUAGGGUUGUAAAGCCCUUUCACCUGGGAAGAUAAUGACGGUACCAGGAGAAGAAGCCCCGGCUAACUUCGUGCCAGCCGCCGCAGUAAAAU
rnacentral:rRNA from 1 species